GAUGAGAGAUUAAGUGAGAGGAGUGAGUGAGAGAAAUGGUGGGAUUUGGGGAGAGGGAAAGAGAAAGGAGAGGUAAGAGUAGAGAAAGACAUUGAGAAAAUGGUGGAGGAGUUAUUUCGGUUUUAAAAACCGUAUCACUUUGCGCGACGAAAAAUAUUGUUGGUCGCGCAAAUGUUUGCGCGACGAAAAAUAUUGGAAUAUUGGUCGUGCAAACUUUUGCGCAACGAAACAUAUUGGUCGCGCAAAGCCCAAAAAAAAUUAUUUUAAAAAAAUAAAAAUCCCCGCGUCCCAUUUUUGGUACCCGCCAAAAUUUUUAAAUUUUUGCGCGACGAAAAAUACAUAUUGGUCGCGUAAAGUCUAAAAAAAAUAUUUUGCGCGACAAAUAUAGGAAUAUUGGUCGCACAAAGUCCAAAAAAAUUAUUUUAAAAAAAUAAAAAUCCCCGCGUCCCAUUUUUGGUACCCGCCAAAAUUUUUAAAUUUUUGCGCGACGAAAAAUACAUAUUGGUCGCGUAAAGUCUAAAAAAAAUAUUUUGCGCGACGAAUAUAGGAAUAUUGGUCGCGCAAAGUCUAAAAAAAUUAUUUUAAAAAAAUAAAAAUCCC
rnacentral:lncRNA from 1 species